GACACCACUCGCCGGCCCCCCCCCGUCCUCCGAGGGGGGGGGUUCCGCCCGGACUCUGCCUUUUCCGGAUGUGCAAACGUCCGAGUCCACCGAACUUGGUGAACCAAACUGUUACUGCCUUGCUGCACAGAGUUGUUGAGCGGCGUCCGCUUCGGGGGCGACUUUGGACUCGUUUAUUGCUCCAGGUAUAUCGGUAGGGGUAAUUCCGGUUGCGCCCCCUCCCUUCCUCGCCGGGGGGAGGACCCCCCAACUACUUUCG
rnacentral:misc_RNA from 1 species